CCACAAUGGCAUUUCUGGCUUCCUGCCAAAAGGCGUUUUCCCCAAUUCCACAGUCUCUCCAACAGCCUUCUCAUCAACAAAUCAGGAACAUCUGUUUCCAGUCUGAACCAGACGCCGACAAGCAAAAACAACAGUCUCUCCGCUCCGUCUCCACCAGCAGCACACGAACCUUCAAGCACACACAUUCCUCUCACGCCAAGCAGCCGACUCUCUCCCAAAAA